rnacentral:rRNA from 1 species
CCCUUAGAUGUUCUGGGCUGCACGCGCGCUACACUGAAGCGUUCAACGAGUAUUCACCUUGCCCGGGAGGGUUGGGUAAUCUUUUGAAAACGCUUCGUGAUGGGGAUAGAUUAUUGCAAUUAUUAAUCUUCAACGAGGAAUUCCUAGUAAGCGCGAGUCAUCAGCUCGUGCUGAUUACGUCCCUGCCCUUUGUACACACCGCCCGUCGCUGCCCGGAACUGAGCCGUUUCGAGAAAGCCGGGGACUGACGGCUUGUGGGUGCGCAAGCGCUUCUUGCCGAUGGAAACCAGUUUAAUCGGUAUGGCUUGAACCGGGCAAAAGUCGUAACA